GUUAGAUUUGUAGUAUUUUUGUGAAGAAUAAGGUACACAUAAAUAAUAUUUUGAGUUCUGAUGAUAUGUAUGGGCAGUCUUCAUCUAGUUUUGGUACAGACCAAUUACAAAGUCAAUUAAUUGAUUUAGACAUGGAAAUUAAUGAUAGCAUUUAUAACAUACCUUAUUAACUAUCCCACUGAAGAUGAUUUGCUUAAACUUAAAAAUCAAUUAACAAAAUGGAACUUACUAUGUGUAUACCAGACGUGUAUUGACCAACUAAUUGAUCUCAAGAUUAUGGCACUUAUGAGAUUAGAACAUGUAUAUAAAUUAUUAGAAAAAUUUCCUUUGGGGAUUAUAAUAUUAUUUGAAUCUGAACUAAUAAAAUGGCAAAAAAAUAUAAGCAUUAAUGACACCGUUGUUAAAAGUAAUGUAUCUAAUGAAAUAGUACAUGCUCCAGUUUGUGUUGAAAAUACUUAUUAUUAUAAGAAACUUAAUAAACUAUUAAUGAUGGAAUAAGAUCAACAUUAGUAGACUUAAUUAUCAGCUAUAUGGUAACAAAACAUUUAUCAAUGUCAAUUGGCUUUGAAAAGUCUAUGGCCAAUCAAAUAGUAGCCAUGUUCAAAACAGAAAUUAAGAAAUCCUAAAGAAAAAUUAUACACCAAGUACUUCAAUUCUGUGAGGAGUUCAAAAACAAAUGGGUUAAUAGAAAGUGCACCAACAGUUAUAACUGUUUACUAUAGUAAACCUAACAACAAUGAUAAUUCAAAAGAUUGUACAGUUGACGGACGUGGUUGGACACAAAAAGAGUUUGAUUUAGAAAAGAACUGGAAGGCUACAAUUAAUUACAGACUUAAUUAUAUUAAAAAUUCUUCAUACACUAAUGAUGUAUUGAAAAUGUGGAAGCAAUAUUUAGUACUAUAUGGACAUAAACUAGUGAUAACUGUGUGGUGUAGUCUAUGAAUAAAAGCACUAAAUAAUUGACAUAGACUAUAAUGAGUAUAAUGCAUUAUUUCCCAAUUGUGCCAAUAUUUAUGAUGAGUUUAAUUUAAAAAUUGAUAAGGUGCUUACAAUUAUGGAUGUAAAAAUAAAAGAUAU
rnacentral:lncRNA from 1 species